CGAGCGAACAGACGAGGAGCUUGCUCCUCUGACGUUAGCGGCGGACGGGUGAGUAACACGUGGAUAACCUACCUAUAAGACUGGGAUAACUUCGGGAAACCGGAGCUAAUACCGGAUAAUAUAUUGAACCGCAUGGUUCAAUAGUGAAAGACGGUUUUGCUGUCACUUAUAGAUGGAUCCGCGCCGCAUUAGCUAGUUGGUAAGGUAACGGCUUACCAAGGCAACGAUGCGUAGCCGACCUGAGAGGGUGAUCGGCCACACAGGAACUGAGACACGGUCCAGACUCCUACGGGAGGCAGCAGUAGGGAAUCUUCCGCAAUGGGCGAAAGCCUGACGGAGCAACGCCGCGUGAGUGAUGAAGGUCUUCGGAUCGUAAAACUCUGUUAUUAGGGAAGAACAAAUGUGUAAGUAACUAUGCACGUCUUGACGGUACCUAAUCAGAAAGCCACGGCUAACUACGUGCCAGCAGCCGCGGUAAUACGUAGGUGGCAAGCGUUAUCCGGAAUUAUUGGGCGUAAAGCGCGCGUAGGCGGUUUUUUAAGUCUGAUGUGAAAGCCCACGGCUCAACCGUGGAGGGUCAUUGGAAACUGGAAAACUUGAGUGCAGAAGAGGAAAGUGGAAUUCCAUGUGUAGCGGUGAAAUGCGCAGAGAUAUGGAGGAACACCAGUGGCGAAGGCGACUUUCUG
rnacentral:rRNA from 1 species